rnacentral:rRNA from 1 species
CCCUUAGAUGUUCUGGGCCGCACGCGCGCUACACUGACGGAGGCAGCGAGCGUGUCCUUCGCCGGCAGGUGCGGGCAAUCUUGCGAGUCUCCGUCGUGCUGGGGAUAGAUGGUUGCAAUUGUCGAUCUUGAACGAGGAAUUCCUAGUAAGCGCGAGUCAUCAGCUCGCGCUGAUUCCGUCCCUGCCCUUUGUACACACCGCCCGUCGCUACUACCGAUUGGGUGAUCCGGUGAAUGAUUCGGACCGGCGUAGUGCUAGCUACUAGUGCUGUACUGGAAAGUUUUGUGAACCUUAUCACCUGGAGGAAGGAGAAGUCGUAACA